rnacentral:rRNA from 1 species
AACGAACGCUGGCGGCAUGCCUAACACAUGCAAGUCGAACGAGACCUUCGGGUCUAGUGGCGCACGGGUGCGUAACGCGUGGGAACCUGCCCUUAGGUUCGGAAUAACUCCCCGAAAGGGGUGCUAAUACCGGAUAAUGUCUUCGGACCAAAGAUUUAUCGCCUUUGGAUGGGGCCGCGUUGGAUUAGCUAGUUGGUAGGGUAAAAGCCUACCAAGGCGACGAUCCAUAGCUGGUCUGAGAGGAUGAUCAGCCACACUGGGACUGAGACACGGCCCAGACUCCUACGGGAGGCAGCAGUGGGGAAUAUUGGACAAUGGGCGAAAGCCUGAUCCAGCAAUGCCGCGUGAGUGAUGAAGGCCUUAGGGUUGUAAAGCUCUUUUACCCGGGAUGAUAAUGACAGUACCGGGAGAAUAAGCUCCGGCUAACUCCGUG